CCCUACGGGGGGCAGCAGUGGGGGAUAUUGCACAAUGGGGGGAACCCUGAUGCAGCGACGCCGCGUGGGUGAAGAAGCGCCUCUGCGCGUAAAGCCCUGUCAGCAGGGAAGAAAAUGACGGUACCUGAAGAAGAAGCCCCGGCUAACUACGUGCCAGCAGCCGCGGUAAUACGUAGGGGGCAAGCGUUAUCCGGAUUUACUGGGUGUAAAGGGGGCGCAGACGGCGAUGCAAGCCAGGAGUGAAAGCCCGGGGCCCAACCCCGGGACUGCUCUUGGAACUGCGUGGCUGGAGUGCAGGAGGGGCG
rnacentral:rRNA from 1 species